rnacentral:rRNA from 1 species
UACGAAGGGGGCUAGCGUUGCUCGGAAUCACUGGGCGUAAAGGGUGCGUAGGCGGGUCUUAAGUCAGGGGUGAAAUCCUGGAGCUCAACUCCAGAACUGCCUUUGAUACUGAAGAUCUUGAGUUCGGGAGAGGUGAGUGGAACUGCGAGUGUAGAGGUGAAAUUCGUAGAUAUUCGCAAGAACACCAGUGGCGAAGGCGGCUCACUGGCCCGGUACUGACGCUGAGGCACGAAAGCGUGGGGAGCAAACAGG